rnacentral:rRNA from 1 species
UGGGGAAUUGUUCGCAAUGGGCGAAAGCCUGACGACGCAACGCCGCGUGGAGGAUGAAGAAUUUCGGUUCGUAAACUCCUUUCGACCGAGAUGAAUAUCCCGAGAUCUAAUAAGUUUCGGGACUGACAGUAUCGAGAGAAGAAGCCCCGGCUAACUCUGUGCCAGCAGCCGCGGUAAUACAGGGGGGGCAAGCGUUGUUCGGAAUUACUGGGCGUAAAGGGUUCGUAGGUGGCCACUUAAGUCAGACGUGAAAUCCCUCAGCUUAACUGGGGAACUGCGUCUGAUACUGGGUGGCUUGAGUGCAGGAGAGGAAUGCGGAAUUCCAGGUGUAGCGGUGAAAUGCGUAGAUAUCUGGAGGAACACCGGUGGCGAAGGCGGCAUUCUGGACUGUAACUGACACUGAGGAACGAAAGCCAGGGGAGCAAACGG